rnacentral:lncRNA from 1 species
AUGACGCGCUGCGGUAUCUUUAUCUCAUUAUUGUCAUGUCUCCCAUCUUUAAAGACAAGCAAAGAGGACAAGCAAGACGAGGAGGAGGAGGAGGAGGAAGAAUACGAGUAUGAGGAUGAAACAGGAAACCCUGGAGAGGAAGCAUCCACCAGUCACCAUUUUACAGCCUCCCCAGACAGAGGAAGUGAUUUUUUCCUGAAUGUGACGGCCCCAGUACCGCUACCGCUCAUCACAACAAAUGGAGAAGACCAGGUCCCUCACGCCAGCGUCAGGGUGAAGAAAAGCACCUCCAGGUCCAGUUCACGGAGGUUCAUGCCAGGAGCUCCAGGUGGGAGGAAUGAUCUCAACCAAGGAGAAAAUCAAAAAAAGCCAAACCUUCAACUCAGGAGGCAGAGGCAAGAAAAGAGGGACGCGGAGGCCGACAUGGAUAAAGAGGGGGAGCCAGGAACGCACACCGAAGGGGUGGUGGAAGAGAGAGGGGUCGGCAAAGAACCAGGAGCCGAUCCAGUUUAUGACCAGGAGGAGACGAGCGGAGAAGAUGAAGGGCAACCUGAGGAGGGUGGAGGAGGGGAGGAGAUGGAGAGACAGAGGGAGGAGUGGGAGAGGAAGAGAGUGGAGAUGGAGAGGAGGAGAGUGGGGGGUUAUGACGAGGAGAGCCCACAGCCAUAUCCACACUCCCCAGAGUAUUAUUACCUGAAGGGAAAAGCAGGUGAGAAUGGAAACCCAGGAGAAAAGGGUGAAACUGGAGAAAAAGGCCAAAAGGUAAAAACUUCUGGGGGAGUUUUUGUAAUAUUUUAG